rnacentral:rRNA from 1 species
GUGCCAGCAGCCGCGGUAAGACGAACCUGACGAACGUUAUUCGGAAUCACUGGGCUUAAAGGGUGCGUAGGCUGUGCAGAAAGUUGGGUGUGAAAUCCCUCGGCUUAACCGAGGAACUGCGCCCAAAACUACUGUGCUUGAGUGAGAUAGAGGUGAGCGGAACUUAGGGUGGAGCGGUGAAAUGCGUUGAUAUCCUAAGGAACACCGGUGGCGAAAGCGGCUCACUGGGUCUCAACUGACGCUGAUGCACGAAAGCUAGGGUAGCGAACGGGAUUAGAAACCCUCGUAGUCC